rnacentral:rRNA from 1 species
ACACGUAGGAGGCAAGCGUUAUCCGGAUUUACUGGGCGUAAAGCGCGUGCAGGCGGUUUGGCAAGUCGGAUGUGAAAUCUCCUGGCUUAACUGGGAGAGGUCGUUCGAAACUGCCAGACUAGAGGACGGUAGAGGAAAGUGGAAUUCCCGGUGUAGUGGUGAAAUGCGUAGAUAUCGGGAGGAACACCAGAGGCGAAGGCGGCUUUCUGGGCCGGUCCUGACGCUAAGACGCGAAAGCAUGGGUAGCAAACGGGAUUAGAAACCCCGGUAGUCCAUGCUGUAAACGAUGCAAACUUGGUGUCGGUGGUGUAAAAACUGUCGGUGCCGCAGCUAACGCGAUAAGUUUGCCGCCUGGGGACUACGACCGCAAGGUUAAA